AUUGAACGCUGGCGGCAUGCCUUACACAUGCAAGUCGAACGGUAACGGGUCCUUCGGGAUGCCGACGAGUGGCGAACGGGUGAGUAAUAUAUCGGAACGUGCCCAGUAGUGGGGGAUAACUGCUCGAAAGAGCAGCUAAUACCGCAUACGACCUGAGGGUGAAAGGGGGGGAUCGCAAGACCUCUCGCUAUUGGAGCGGCCGAUAUCAGAUUAGCUAGUUGGUGGGGUAAAGGCCUACCAAGGCAACGAUCUGUAGUUGGUCUGAGAGGACGACCAGCCACACUGGGACGUAGACACGGCGCAGACUCCUACGGGAGGCAGCAGUGGGGAAUUUUGGACAAUGGGCGCAAGCCUGAUUCAGCAAUGCCGCGUGCAGGAAGAAGGCCUUCGGGUUGUAAACUGCUUUUGUCAGGGAAGAAGUCUUCUGGGCUAAUACCCCGGGAGGAUGACGGUACCUGAAGAAUAAGCACCGGCUAACUACGUGCCAGCAGCCGCGGUAA
rnacentral:rRNA from 1 species